UACGAAGGGGGCGAGCGUUGUUCGGAUUUACUGGGCGUAAAGGGCACGCAGGCGGCCAUGUUUGUCAGGCGUGAAAGCCCCGGGCUUAACCUGGGAACCGCGCUUGAGACGGGAUGGCUAGAGAUCGGGAGAGGAGAGUGGAAUUCCCAGUGUAGAGGUGAAAUUCGUAGAUAUUGGGAAGAACACCGGUGGCGAAGGCGGCUCUCUGGACCGAUACUGACGCUGAGGCGCGAAAGCGUGGGGAGCAAACAGG
rnacentral:rRNA from 1 species